rnacentral:rRNA from 1 species
UACAGAGGGGGCAAGCGUUGUUCGGAAUUACUGGGCGUAAAGGGCGCGUAGGCGGCCCGCUAAGUCGAACGUGAAAUCCCCGAGCUCAACUCGGGAACUGCGUCCGAUACUGGCGGGCUUGAAUCCGGGAGAGGGAUGCGGAAUUCCAGGUGUAGCGGUGAAAUGCGUAGAUAUCUGGAGGAACACCGGUCGCGAAGGCGGCAUCCUGGACCGGCAUUGACGCUGAGGCGCGAAAGCUAGGGGAGCAAACGGG